GAUGAACGCUGACAGAAUGCCUAACACAUGCAAGUCGAUGGGGAAGUGGUGCUUGCACCAUGGUAACCAUGGCGGACGGGUGAGUAACACGUAAGGAACUUACCUGCGGGACCGGGAUAACAGCAGGAAACUGCUGACAAGACCGGAUAAGGUCAUUAAGCUGCAUAGCUUAGUGAUGAAAGGAGACGCCUGCGGAGAGCCUUGCGUCCUAUUAGCUAGUUGGAGGGGUAACGGCCCACCAAGACGAAGAUAGGUAGCCGGCCUGAGAGGGUGGACGGCCACGAGGGGAAUGGGAUACGGCCCUUACUCCUACGGGAGGCAGCAGUGGAGAAUAUUGGACAAUGGGGGCAAGCCUGAUCCAGCAAUUCGGUGUGCACGAAGACGGUUUUCGGGUUGAAAAGUGCUUUCAGCAGGGAAGAAGGAAGUGACGGUACCUGCAGAAGAAGCGACGGCUAAAUACGUG
rnacentral:rRNA from 1 species